rnacentral:ribozyme from 1 species
CCAAAAUUUGCCUAUGAGGUGAAUUUGACCAAGAGCAAGAACUUGAUCUUGUGUUCGUGUGUCAAGUACAAAGAGAAGCGGUGUGGCAGAGAUUUGCA